UGCGUAGGCGGAAUAUUAAGUCAGUGGUGAAAUCCUGCGGCUCAACCGUAGAACUGCCAUUGAUACUGAUAUUCUUGAAUGUAGUUGAGGUAGGCGGAAUGUGUAAUGUAGCGGUGAAAUGCUUAGAUAUUACACAGAACACCGAUUGCGAAGGCAGCUUACUAAGCUAGGAUUGACGCUGAGGUACGAAAGCGUGGGGAGCGAACAGGAUUAGAUACCCUGGUAGUCC
rnacentral:rRNA from 1 species